UCCGGUGUGUUCCUUCCGGGGUGUUCUUCACUGCAGUCAGCUCCUCAGAGCAUUUGGUGUUGGGUAUUUUGUCUCAGCAACAAAAGGUAAUUAAGAGAGUGGAGAUAUAUCACAGUAAAUGUCCCUGCAAUUGAGAAGAUUUUGUAAGACAUCUUAAAAGGGGUGAACAGAGCUGGUUGAAUCCCAAGUACAGAGCCCAUGGAUAUGGAUGGAUGACUGCAUUAUAUUGAGACCCUGUCAAUGAAGGAGAAAAUGAUCAACACAGGCAGGAUGGUUGAAAAAUUAAAGAGGGGUGAAUGAUGGAGAAUAAACUUGGCUGAUGUAGCACAUUAUGGAAUCACUGCACUCUAGGAUAUUGAAGAGAUUCAGGAGUACCUCUUUAUGUUACCUCAAGAACAAAAAGCAAGUAGGGAUACAGAGUCAGUUGGAGAUAAAAAGGGAAUUUCAAAAAUUAAUGGCAUCAGCUGAAGCUAUAUAAAGCAAGUAAAGAACUGGGAUGAAAGAUUGAAGUGGCUAGGCAAGCUUGGAAGAGCCACUGGGAAGAUUUUGAACACAGGGCUGACAACCUUGUAAUCAUACCAAAUGAUUUGUGGAGUGCUAGGAAGGGUCCAUCUGAAAUGAAAUGACUAUGAACAGAAGCCGAGAACACAGUCAACAGGUGUGACAUGAGGAAGUAGGUUGGGUUGAUGGUAAUGUGAAAUAUUAAAGGACAUAAAGAAUU